AUUGACUUACAUGAGUUCGUUCUCAUUUUAUUACCUUUUCUCGUCACUUUCUCUCUUAUUUUCUUUGUUUUAAUUUUAUCAUCUACGUGAUCAGCAAGCAGUUUAUGAAGGGGGAAAACAUGAAGAAUUUCGUGGGUGGAGAAAUGGAAACUGGACCCGAAGUGUCCCGAAAGAAACAUCGCAGGGCAAGGAAACCCAAGUUUGAGGUUGGCAAACCAAAGCUCGUUAAUGAUAAGAAGAAAAAGGAUAAGAAAGUGAAGCAGGUAGUUGCGACCCAGAUGGCCAAGCUAGGCCUGGAGGCGUUUCCGCUGAUAUUUGCUGAAAUUAAGGAAAGUAAUCGCCGGUUGAAACACCUGAACUCUAAGAUCGAUGGUUAUGUUCUUGAUAAGCUAGCUGCUUGGGAUGCUGAAGACGAAUUAAGGCGUUUGAGCAUUUGAUCCAUCUGGGAUCUUAUCUAUCAAGCAGCUGGGCUUGCUUAUGGUUAAUUUAUCUAUUUAUCUAUCUAUCUAUCCAGAACUUAACUGGUGUGUUUGGGAUUGAAACAUGAAUCUGUUUGCACUUUUGAUUUCAUCUAAAUCACUUAAUUUGCUUCCACUUUGGGUAAUGAUUAUUUCAUCCAAUUUUCUGAUUA